GUAAUUCUUACAGUGUAAUAUCAAGUUUCAAUAGGAACUAGAAAAAAACAUGAAACUAUACACAAAAUAUUCAUGUAAUGAAUGUUCAUGACUUGGAAGAGUAUUUUUUACUAGAUAUUUACGCAUACUAUUAAAUUAUUUAUUGUCACUGCACCAACACCUGAACAUUCUAAGUAACUUUUAUUCUGAAGAAACAGCGCAUUGGAUUUUGCGCAUGCGCCAUUUGACAACGUAUGAACGUAAAGCCAGUGAAGCGCCAGAGAAGAAGCGGGAAGAAGGCUCUGAAGCUCUGAAGCAAGAUCUCUGGAUCGCAAUUUUGCUGGAUCGGGUCGAGACGAGAGGACAACCGCAGUGAUGCUACUGAACACGUCCUCAAGAUCAUGGUCGUCCAUGAUGCUUCAGAAGAGUAUCCAGUCGAUGUCACCAUCAUUUAAUUUCUUUCUUGUUCAUUCGUCUACUAUGCAUUGUAUUUGAUUAUGUUUGUACAAUCUUACAAAACACUAUGCUUUACUGUUCCCGUAGAGACGCAUUGUUUUGAGAAACUGCAAUAGGAAAAAAGAUUUGACUAUUCAUCUUCAUCCAGUCCUUGUUAUCAAUAAAAUUGCUUCAUUACAGUACCAUA